UGAGAACAACUCAUCGCCCACUCAACAAAAACCCAUUUUCCCACUCAAACUCUCUAAAACUCUUCUUGCUCAAUCUGCUCUUGGAAUUUUUGCUUUAGGGUUCAUAGAUGCCGGUGGAGAUUGGUCAAGAAUUGGUGUCAUCUCAAAGGAGAGUGAAAAUCUACUGAAAAUUUCAGCAUUUUUUGUAGUGCCUUUGUGUCUGUUUCUCAUCUUUUAUUCCUCUAAGAAAA